AUAGCUUCCCAAGGGGAGUACUUCGAAGGUGACCGUAAUGAUAUUCAGCAAUGAGGGUCUGUGGGAGGUGCCACCAUGAUGACGGCCAUAAAGCACACAUCCGGUACCCGGUAUGCCAGGAGCUGGGGUUACUGCACCAUCACUAGAGGCUGGAGCAGGUGAAGAGGAGGCUGCAGCCCAGAGGGGGACACUUACCACCCAGAGGGGGACACUUACCACGUAAGCACUUUGCAGCCUGAUCUCCUCCAAUCCUCCCAACAGCCCAUUUAACAGGGUUCCAGCCAUCUUGCUCUUCCAGAGAAAUACCAGGUGCUCUCCCACUUCAAGGCCUUUGCACUGACUGUUCACUCUGUCCCCUAAGUAUCUCAUGGCUCCUUCCCUCCCCUCCUUUAGGGUUUUACUAAAAUGUCGCCUUUAUCAGUAGGACUGUUCCUGCCCACUCUAACUAAAGCGGCAAACAUCACUCUCGCAUGCUACUAAACCCCUCACCUUGUCUGCUUUUCCUUGUUUUCUGUUGCUCAAAUCACUCCUAACAUCCUAGAUAAUUAGCGAUUUGUAGUUAUUGUUUUUUGGUUGUCUCCCCUGUUGGAAUGUUAGCUCGAUGACAGCAUGGAUUUUUGUGUUUUGUUCUUGUACGUGUCCAAGCGCCCUGGCACCAUUGGCAUACAGGUGCUUAAUUUUUGGAAUGGAUGGUUGGAUGGGUCGCAAUUCCACCUCCUCAGAGAUAUUCUUAUGUUUAGUGCGUUUCCUCUGCCCCAGCACAGUGCCUAGCACAUAGUAGGCAUUUAAUUAAUGUCUGCAGAAAUAGUGAAUGAUUGCAUUAUGAGUCAUUUUUUCUGUACAUUUACCUUUUUUUUAUAUAUUGGGGUGACAAUUGUUAGUAAAAUUACAUAGAUUUCAGGUGUACAAUUCUGUAUUACAUCAUCUAUAAAUCCCAUUGUGUGUUCACCACCCAGAGUCAGUUCUCCUUUCAUCACCAUAUAUUUGGUACAUUUACCUUUUUAAAACAGAAUUGGAAACUCAUUUAUAAAGAAAUUGGUGUAUUUUAAAGACAAGAUUAUAAAUAUCACCGGUAUCUUUCCAUGUCAUUAAGUAUUCUUCAAGACCGUUAGUUCUAAAGGCUUCAUAAGAUGCCAUUCUGUGAAUGAACUCUAAUUUGUUUAACCACUCUCUCUUGUUGAACAUCUAAGCUGUGAUAAAUAUUUUGUUAUUAUAAAUAAUCUCGCCCCCCCAAAUAAAAGUCUAACGAGCUAAAUAUCUGUGCACAUCACUAAUUGUUUCCUUUGAAUAGAUUACCACAAAAGGAACUGCUGAGUCAAAGGAAAUGUACAUUUUUAACAUUUAACAACAAUAGCAGUUCCGAUGUGCGCAGCAUUUCUAUGCACCAUGCAUGGGGCUAAACCGCCUAAUUUUAACAUCAGGGACUAUAAUUAUCCCUGUUUCACAGAGGAGGAAACUGAGGCUUAGAGAAGUUAACUUCAUUACCCAAAGUCAUACACACUAAAUGAGGCAGACCGGGGCUCUUCCCUGACUUUGGCUCCCAGGCACUCGCUAACUGCCCUCUGCUGCCUCCCCACGGCCUGCGACACACAUUGCCAAAUUGUGCUACAGGGAUCCAGUUCACACUCCCACUCACCAGCGUUCAAGGGGAAUAUGCCCUUUGAAGUAUCCUCGUCAGCAUUAAACAUUCUUAGUUUUGCACUGUUUUGACAUCUUUACGCCUUACAGAAUCUCGGUUUAAAAAAAAAGCAAGGCUAGUAACUGAGAUGAUGGUACUUUAUUCAGGUCACAGUGAAGGGAAGAGGGCCAGGUGUAGCCUUUGCCUCUUCAAUGCCCUGCACAAAUUACAGGGUAUUAGGCUCUAGAACCCAUGUUAAAGGAAGCGCCCUUGUAACUUAGUUGGGAUCUCAGUCAGAGAAUAGACCCCUGAACAAGCCUGGUGACAGAACUGCUGCAACGCCUUCCUUAGGAUAAGGGAUCAGGCCCUCCUACUUUGGGGCGUUGGGAGACGAAAAUCAGCCCCCAAAGAGCCUCCUACAAAGGGCUUCCUGGAGAUGGUGGUGAGGAGAUGACCCCCAAAGGAUGGAAACGGGCAAGGAGGGUGAGGAGGAUUGGCCUCAUAAAAGUGAUGCAUUUCAGUACAUAAAAGGAAAAGAGAAGUGGCAGGCUGCUGUAAGACGGAGUGGCAAGAUGGCAGCAGUGGCGAGAUGGCAGCCCCGCCUUUUGCUGCUGCUUUUGCGUUGCCGCUGCUUUUGUUGGUGUGGUGAGAGCAACAUCAGGUAUUGCAUUUUUUUAAAAUAUUGACCAUAAAUCUUUUUUCUUUAAUUUUAUUGGGGAAUAUAG